rnacentral:rRNA from 1 species
ACGAACGCUGGCGGCAAGCUUAACACAUGCAAGUCGAACGCCGUAGCAAUACGGAGUGGCAGACGGGUGAGUAACGCGUGGGAACGUGCCUUUCGGUUCGGAACAACUGAGGGAAACUUCAGCUAAAACCGGAUACGCCCUUCGGGGGAAAGUUUACGCCGAAAGAUCGGCCCGCGUCAGAUUAGGUAGUUGGUGGGGUAAUGGCCUACCAAGCCUGCGAUCUGUAGCUGUUCUGAGAGGAAGAUCAGCCACAUUGGGACUGAGACACGGCCCAAACUCCUACGGGAGGCAGCAGUGGGGAAUAUUGGACAAUGGGCGCAAGCCUGAUCCAGCUAUGCCGCGUGGAUGAAGAAGGCCUUCGGGUUGUAAAGUCCUUUCGGUGGUGAAGAUAAUGACGGUAACCACAGAAGAAGCCCCGGCUAAUUUCGU